rnacentral:rRNA from 1 species
CACCUGAUCCCAUGCCGAACUCAGAAGUGAAACGCCGUAGCGCCGAUGGUAGUGUGGGGUCUCCCCAUGCGAGAGUAGGACACUGCCAGGCA